rnacentral:rRNA from 1 species
CCUACGGGAGGCAGCAGUAGGGAAUUUUCGUCAAUGGGCGCAAGCCUGAACGAGCAAUGCCGCGUGAACGAGGAAGGUCUUCGGAUCGUAAAGUUCUGUUGAAGGGGAAAAAGAGCGGAGAGAGGAAAUGGUCUCCGAUUGAUAUUACCCUUCGAGGAAGUCACGGCUAACUACGUGCCAGCAGCCGCGGUAAUACGUAGGUGGCGAGCGUUAUCCGGAAUGAUUGGGCGGAAAGGGUGCGUAGGCGGCCUGCUAAGUCUGGAGUGAAAGGUACCGGCUCAACCGGUACAGGCUCUGGAAACUGGCGGGCUAGAGAGCAGUAGAGGGCGGUGGAACUCCAUGUGUAGCGGUAAAAUGCGUAGAUAUAUGGAAGAACACCAGUGGCGAAGGCGGCCGCCUGGCCUGUUACUGACGCUGAGGCACGAAAGCGUGGGGAGCAAAUAGGAUUAGAUACCCGAGUAGUC